GACAGAGGCCUCAAGCGUUAGGCGGAAUCACUGGGCUUAAAGCGUGUGUAGGCGGAUCGUUAAGUGUCUUGUGAAAUCCCACGGCUCACCCGUGGAACUGCUGGGCAUACUGGCGAUCUUGGGCCAACUAGGGGCAACUGGAACAAGCGGUGGAGCGGUGAAAUGCGUAGAUAUCGCUUGGAACGCCGAAGGUGAAAACAGGUUGCUGGGGUUGUGCAGACGCUGAGACACGAAAGCCAGGGGAGCAAACGGG
rnacentral:rRNA from 1 species